rnacentral:rRNA from 1 species
UACAGGGGGUGCAAACGUUGCUCGGAAUCAUUGGGCGUAAAGCGCACGUAGGCGGUCCAGCAAGUCGGGUGUGAAAGCCCUGGGCUUAACCCAGGAAGUGCAUUCGAAACUGCUGGACUUGAAUACUGGAGAGGGUCGCGGAAUUCCCGGUGUAGAGGUGAAAUUCGUAGAUAUCGGGAGGAACACCAGUGGCGAAGGCGGCGACCUGGACAGAUAUUGACGCUGAGGUGCGAAAGCGUGGGGAGCAAACAGG